rnacentral:tRNA from 1 species
AGGGGAGUGGCUCAACGGUAGAGCAACGGUCUCCAAAACCGUCGGUUGCGGGUUCGAAUCCUGUCUCCCCUGCCA